rnacentral:rRNA from 1 species
GACGAACGCUGGCGGCGCGCUUAAUACAUGCAAGUCGAGCGAGAACCAGGGCUUCGGCCCUGGGGACAGCGGCGAACGGGUGAGUAACACGUGGAUAACCUACCCUCGGCACCGGAAUAGCCCGGGGAAACUCGGAUUAAUGCCGGAUAGCCCCACAUCCUCUCGAGGAACGUGGGAAAAGGUAGCUUCGGCCUCUGGCCGGGGAUGGGUCCGCGGUGGAUUAGCUUGUUGGUGCGGGUAAUGGCCCACCAAGGCGACGAUCCAUAGCUGGUCUGAGAGGACGAUCAGCCACACUGGGACUGAGACACGGCCCAGACUCCUACGGGAGGCAGCAGUAGGGAAUCUUGCGCAAUGGGCGAAAGCCUGACGCAGCGACGCCGCGUGCGGGAAGAAGGCC